rnacentral:misc_RNA from 1 species
UCCGGCUUGUCACCGGCAGUCCCCUUAGAGUGCCCAACAAAAUGAUGGCAACUAAGGGCGAGGGUUGCGCUCGUUGCGGGACUUAACCCAACAUCUCACGACACGAGCUGACGACAGCCAUGCAGCACCUGUGUUCCGGCCAGCCGAACUGAAGGAGUUCAUCUCUGAUCUCCAAACCGGACAUGUCAAAGGCUGGUAAGGUUCUGCGCGUUGCGUCGAAUUGAACCACAUGCUCCACCGCUUGUGCGGGCCCCCGUCAAUUCCUUUGAGUUUCAACCUUGCGGUCGUACUCCCCAGGCGGGGUACUUCCUGCGUUAGCGCCGGCACCCAGAGGGUCGCUCCCCCAGGCACCUAGUACCCAUCGUUUACGGCGUGGACUAC